ACGUACCUAUGGGGGGCAGCAGUGGGGAAUAUUGCACAAUGGGGGAAACCCUGAUGCAGCGACGCCGCGUGAGUGAAGAAGUGCCUCGGCACGUAAAGCUCUAUCAGCAGGGAAGAAAAUGACGGUACCUGACCAAGAAGCCCCGGCUAACUACGUGCCAGCAGUCGCGGUAAUACGUAGGGGGCAAGCGUUAUCCGGAUUUACUGGGUGUAAAGGGAGCGUAGACGGCGGCGCAAGUCUGGAGUGAAAUCCCGGGGCUCAACCCCGGAACUGCUUUGGAAACUGCGCGGCUCGAGUGCCGGCGG
rnacentral:rRNA from 1 species